rnacentral:rRNA from 1 species
GUCUACGGCCAUACCACCCUGAACGCGCCCGAUCUCGUCUGAUUCGGAAGCUAAGCAGGGUCGGGCCCGGUUAGUACUUGGAUGGGAGACCGCCUGGGAAUACCGGGUGCUGUAGGCU